rnacentral:rRNA from 1 species
GAUGAAUGCUGACGGCGUGCCUAACACAUGCAAGUCGAGCGGUAAGGCCCUUCGGGGUACACGAGCGGCGGACGGCUGAGUAACGCGUGGGAACAUACCCCAGAGUGAGGGAUAACGCACCGAAAGGUGUGCUAAUACCGCAUAAUCUCUUUGGAGCAAAGCAGUAAUGCGCUUUGGGAAUGGCCUGCGUACGAUUAGAUAGUUGGUGAGGUAAUGGCUUACCAAGUCGACGAUCGUUAGCUGGUCUGAGAGGAUGACCAGUCAGACUGGAACUGAGACACGGUCCAGACUCCUACGGGAGGCAGCAGUGAGGAAUCUUCCACAAUGGGGGCAACCCUGAUGGAGCAACGCCGCGUGCAGGAUGAAGGCCUUCGGGUCGUAAACUGCUUUUAUAAGUGAAGAAUAUGACGGUAACUUAUGAAUAAGCACCGGCUAACUACGUGCCAGCCGCCGCGGUAA